AGGCUUAACACAUGCAAGUCGAGGGGCAGCAUGAUUUGUAGCAAUACAGAUUGAUGGCGACCGGCGCACGGGUGAGUAACGCGUAUGCAACUUACCUAUCAGAGGGGGAUAGCCCGGCGAAAGUCGGAUUAAUACCUCAUAAAACAGGGGUCCCGCAUGGGAAUAUUUGUUAAAGAUUCAUCGCUGAUAGAUAGGCAUGCGUUCCAUUAGGCAGUUGGCGGGGUAACGGCCCACCAAACCGACGAUGGAUAGGGGUUCUGAGAGGAAGGUCCCCCACAUUGGUACUGAGACACGGACCAAACUCCUACGGGAGGCAGCAGUGAGGAAUAUUGGUCAAUGGCCGAGAGGCUGAACCAGCCAAGUCGCGUGAAGGAAGAAGGAUCUAUGGUUUGUAAACUUCUUUUAUAGGGGAAUAAAGUGGAGGACGUGUCCUUUUUUGUAUGUACCCUAUGAAUAAGCAUCGGCUAACUCCGUGCCAGCAGCCGCGGUAAUACGGAGGAUGCGAGCGUUAUCCGGAUUUAUUGGGUUUAAAGGGUGCGUAGGUGGUGAUUUAAGUCAGCGGUGAAAGUUUGUGGCUCAACCAUAAAAUUGCCGUUGAAACUGGGUUACUUGAGUGUGUUUGAGGUAGGCGGAAUGCGUGGUGUAGCGGUGAAAUGCAUAGAUAUCACGCAGAACUCCGAUUGCGUGGGC
rnacentral:rRNA from 1 species